UACCUGGUGCCGGAGAAUAAAAUCAUUCGGCUCUUUCGGGUAAUGUACUCCAUUGCAAUUGCUCGUCUCAAGUCAAACUCUUAUAUAUAUAUUAAUAUUAAUAUAACCAGCUGCAGCUCAGCCGACCCAAGAUACAAGAGGACCAUAAAUUUUAAAUAUGGUUUUUCUUGAAAAAUUUCGAAAAUGUUGCUCAGAAAAAUAUACCAGGUUCGAUACCAUCCCACCCACUGGCUCUUCGCCACUUUUCCUCCGAGCUUUACCUCCACCCCAUUUUUCGCCACGCUGACACGAAUAAUAGAAUAAAUUUACUUUAACCCGACACAUACCUGAAACAAAUUGUGCGCAGAUUCGACACCAGGGAGAAUUAAGUACGACACAAGAAGCUUACAGACGUGGCGAGAAAAUCCAACAUGACAAUGAGCGACGACUCCCACCCGGAAGUGACUUUCACUUGGAAUCACUUUCUUCCAAUGAUAUGACCGCUUGGUGCAAAGACUUGGAGGAAUCUGAGCAUAUCGACGUCCACAAUGGGCAGCUUUGCAAACCUUACUUUCAACAAAGUCUCGACCAGCCACCCCAAGUUUCCUCGUCCAUCUUCUUGCUCCCUCCCGGAAUUUCGAAGUAGUCUAAGAAGAGGGAUAGAACUUCAGUGAAAAUAGAUUCCUCCCCCACCUGCAUGCACUGUUGGACGUGGAACCUCCCAACUGGGACAAGAACCACGAGUACGGGUCUGCCGACGUGGACGUUUAUUACGUCGAUGGUCAGCGCGGCGGCUGGGUCAAGACUGAAGAGGGGACCGCUUUACGAGACGUCAUGCGACAAGAGAGAUAUUAUCUCCCGAGUCGGGAGUCCCGACGAAUGGAGUACCUGGAUUUUUUAUUCUCUCAAAAAAAUCAGAAUUUUGUAAAUUUUUCUUGGAAAGGAUGAAAUGACAUGACAUUCAAUAAAUGAAUUGAAAAUGUGGAAUUAUUUUUAA